GACGAACGCUGGCGGCGUGCUUAACACAUGCAAGUCGAACGGAAAGGCCCAGCUUUUGUGGGGUGCUCGAGUGGCGAACGGGUGAGUAACACGUGAGUAACCUGCCCUUGACUUUGGGAUAACUUCAGGAAACUGGGGCUAAUACCGGAUAGGAGCUCCUGCUGCAUGGUGGGGGUUGGAAAGUUUCGGCGGUUGGGGAUGGACUCGCGGCUUAUCAGCUUGUUGGUGGGGUAGUGGCUUACCAAGGCUUUGACGGGUAGCCGGCCUGAGAGGGUGGCCGGCCACAUUGGGACUGAGAUACGGCCCAGACUCCUACGGGAGGCAGCAGUGGGGAAUAUUGCACAAUGGGCGGAAGCCUGAUGCAGCAACGCCGCGUGCGGGAUGACGGCCUUCGGGUUGUAAACCGCUUUCGCCUGUGACGAAGCGUGAGUGACGGUAAUGGGUAAAGAAGCACCGGCUAACUACGUG
rnacentral:rRNA from 1 species